GGGGCUGUGGCUCAGUGGUAGAGCGUCUGCUUUGCAUGCAGAAUGCCCCAGGUUCAAUUCCCGGCAUCUCCA